rnacentral:rRNA from 1 species
UACGAAGGGGGCUAGCGUUGCUCGGAAUCACUGGGCGUAAAGCGCACGUAGGCGGAUUGUUAAGUCAUGUGUGAAAUCCCUCGGCUCAACCGGGGAACGACGCAUGAAACUGACAAGCUAGAGUACCAAAGAGGGGGGUGGAAUUCCCGGUGUAGCGGUGGAAAUGCGUAGAUAUCGGGAGGAACACCGGUGGCGAAGGCGGCCCCCUGGUUGGAGUACGUCGACGGCCUGGAGACGCGAAAAGCGUCGGG